CAUUAAACAUUGACUUGCUCUCCUUAUUACUUUUAGUCAAACAUCAAUGUUUUAAAUUUCCUUCUUAAAAUUAUAAAAGUACUCUGCAAUAAAAUAAAAUAAGUUAAUUAUAAUGAAUAGCGAACCAAAACAAAAGGGAAAUAAUAAAAAUAAGUGGAUAAUAGUGCUCACCAUGUGUGGGCUACUAUCCUUGUCCCCAUAAACCGCAUAUAUAUAAGUCUCACACUCAAGUCUCAAUUCAAGCUUCUCAUCCUAUAAUAUUCUUACAGACCUCCUUUCUCUCUCCUCACUCAACCUCGUUCUUUUCUAGCUUAAGCAAGCCCAAAGGGCCGGGCCCCAUUCAACGUAGCAUCAUAACCGAUCCAAACAACUCUUCCAUAUAUAUAUCUAUCUUCAACCCAAUCAAUGGUUUAUGAUAUGAGGUCCUCCUUUGCUGCCCUAAAACACUGUGGCCAUGGUCAUCAUCAAGGUGUACAAGAGCUCCGGAACACGGUUGAUCUCUCAGCAACAAACACAACGACGACGACGACAACAACAACAACAACGCAUCAUGAUAGUUGUGAAGAAGGAAGAAGAAGCUUCUCAUCACUAUCAUUAGUUAUCAAGUCUUAGCCUUUAAUUCGGUGCUAUCCUACCUGAGCUUUAUUACUCUACAUAUAUUCUCUAUCAGUUUUCACCCCAUCUUUUUUAUUCUCUUUUUCUUGACCUUGUAAGACCUUUUCUUGACCUUGUAAGGCCUGGUCCGAUAUAAUUUACCCUAGUUUCUAGCCGAACCAAGGUAUUCUUCAUUGAACACGGAUUCGGUAUAUUAGUUAACUAGGGUUUCACAUAACCUUCCAACUCAUCAUCCCACCUCUUGUCUAUCCCUCCUGAGCUACAGAAUUACUACUUAAGUCUUCCAUGGAAAGAAGUUGCUAUGUAUAUCUUCAAAGUUUGAAAAGCUUAGCUUGCUCAUGAACGAACGGCGGCGGCGGCAUUUCACGAACAUGGAACUACCUUAAGGCCUUAUAAAGGGUGAACCUGUAAACCCUUUCACUUCUUAUUGUAUAAUACGGAGUACUCUGUAAUAUAUACAUAUAUAUCUUGUACAUUGAAACUCUUAUGAGAUCAAAUAGAUAUACAAUAUUCAGUAACAUUAUUAUUUGUCUAAUAUUAAACUGAAUAUCAAAUAGACACUCCUUAAUAAAAACAAAAGUGCCUCUUCCGUGUGGCACGGCUGAUCGAUUUGUUGACCA